rnacentral:rRNA from 1 species
GACGAACGCUGGCGGCGUGCUUAACACAUGCAAGUCGAACGGAAAGGCCCUGCUUUUGUGGGGUGCUCGAGUGGCGAACGGGUGAGUAACACGUGAGUAACCUGCCCUUGACUUUGGGAUAACUUCAGGAAACUGGGGCUAAUACCGGAUAGGAGCUCCUGCUGCAUGGUGGGGGUUGGAAAGUUUCGGCGGUUGGGGAUGGACUCGCGGCCUAUCAGCUUGUUGGUGGGGUAGUGGCUUACCAAGGCUUUGACGGGUAGCCGGCCUGGGAGGGUGACCGGCCACGAUGGGACUGAGAUACGGCCCAGACUCAUACGGGGGGCAGCAGGGGGGAAUAUUGCACAAUGGGCGGAAGCCUGAUGCAGCAACGCCGCGUGCGGGAUGACGGCCUUCGGGUUGUAAACCGCUUUCGCCUGUAACGAAGCGUGAGUGACGGUAAUGGGUAAAGAAGCACCGGCUAACUACGUG